GAUGAAGAACGCAGCAAAAUGCGAUAAGUAAUGUGAAUUGCAGAAUUCAGUGAAUCAUCGAAUCUUUGAACGCACAUUGCGCCCGCCAGUAUUCUGGCGGGCAUGCCUGUUCGAGCGUCAUUUCAACCAUCAAGCCCCCGGGCUUGUGUUGGGGACCUGCGGCUGCCGCAGGCCCCGAAAACCAGUGGCGGGCUCGCUGUCACCCCGAGCGUAGUAGUUUACACCUCGCCCAGGGCGUGCCGCGGGUUCCCGGCCGUUAAACCCCCCCAUACCACAAGGUUGACCUCGGAUCAGGUAGGAAGACCCGCUGAACUUAAGCAUAUCAAUAAGCGGAGGA
rnacentral:misc_RNA from 1 species